rnacentral:tRNA from 1 species
GGGCCUAUAGUCUAGUGGAUAGGAUGACAGCCUCCUAAGCUGUGGACCCGGGUUCGACUCCCGGUGGGCCCG